CACGUAGGGCGCAAGCGUUGUCCGGAAUUAUUGGGCGUAAAGAGCUCGUAGGCGGUCUGUUACGUCUGCUGUGAAAACCCAGGGCUUAACCCUGGGCUUGCAGUGGAUACGGGCAGACUAGAGGCAGGUAGGGGAGAAUGGAAUUCCCGGUGUAGCGGUGAAAUGCGCAGAUAUCUGGAGGAACACCGGUGGCGAAGGCGGCAUCCUGGACCGGUAUUGACGCUGAGGCGCGAAAGCUAGGGGAGCAAACGGG
rnacentral:rRNA from 1 species